rnacentral:rRNA from 1 species
CGACUGGUCUGGUUAAUUCCGUUAACGAUGGAGACCACAGCCUACUAAAUAGAGCGCAUUAUGGUAACAUAGUGUGAUACUUCUUAGAGGGACAUUUCGGGUAUACCGGAAGGAAGUUUGUGGCAAUAACAGGUCUGUGAUGCCCUUAGAUGUUCUGGGCCGCACGCGCGCUAAACUGACGACUUCAACAAGUUUUUUGGCCUUGCCAAAUUUCCUUGGCCGGAAGGUCUGGGUAAUCUUUUAAAAGGUCGUCGUGAUGGGGCUAGAUUCUUGCAAUUAUUAAUCUCCAACGAGGAACC